rnacentral:rRNA from 1 species
UCCGUAGGUGGAUAAUUAAGUCAGAGGUGAAAUCCUGCAGCUCAACUGUAGAAUUGCCUUUGAUACUGGUUAUCUUGAGUCAUUAUGAAGUGGUUAGAAUGUGUAGUGUAGCGGUGAAAUGCAUAGAUAUUACACAGAAUACCGAUUGCGAAGGCAGAUCACUAAUAAUGUACUGACACUGAGGGACGAAAGCGUGGGGAGCGAACAGGAUUAAUACCCUGGUAGUCC